rnacentral:lncRNA from 1 species
CUCAGGACCACCUGAGUCCAGACUCAGAGAGUCGCUGAAGCAUCUUGAGACUGGCUGUUCCCAGGAUUUCUUCCCUGAAGCCAUAAAGAGAAAGCUGUGUCUUCAGAGCAAGAGAAAAAAACACAGAACAGAUCUUCGGCUCUACUCUUUCCGAAAGUGGCUUGAGCUCUGAGGAUGAAUUCUCAGCUUGCCAGAUUUGCCAGAAAUAUGCACAGCAGACAAAACAAAAGCACCAGGUUGUCAUGAGCGCUCAUGGUAUUUCUCAAUACUUGCCCUGCUUACAAGUUUCUACAGAUUACCUCUCUACAAUAUGCAGAAAUUAUACUUGAAGAUUGAGUAUUUGCCUUUGAAAAUACUUUCACAAUUAACAGAAAUCCCUUUGGAUCCUGUCUGAGAGAAUUUUAAAGUCUAAGGUGAAAAUUACUUCUCAUUCCCCUGGAGUUUCAUCUCAAGAAGAUUCAAACAUCUUUGGACUAUGGAGAAGGCCUCAUAAGAAAGUGCCUCUUUCUUGAUGCUUUAUAAAGACAGCUUUAUUUCUGAUUUUUCACUACCAGAGAUAUACUACCAGGUGUUAAAGGGUUCAUUCUGCUAAAAGAAUAUCUCCAAGAGAGUUUGCAGAAAAGUAAAGCGAAGUCAGG